rnacentral:rRNA from 1 species
GCAACGAGCGCAACCCCUGCUAUCUGUUGCCAGCAAGUAAUGUUGGGGACGUCAGAUGGAACUGCCGGUGACAAACCGGAGGAAGGUGGGGACGACGUCAAGUCAUCAUGGCCCUUAUGUCCUGGGCUACACACGUGCUACAAUGGCCGGUACAGAGCGCAGCGAAGCCGCGAGGCAAAGCGAAUCGCAAAAAGCCGGUCUCAGUACGGAUUGGAGUCUGAAACUCGACUCCAUGAAGUUGGAAUCGCUAGUAAUCGCGCAUCAGCAUGGCGCGGUGAAUACGUUCCCGGGCCUU